GACGAACGCUGGCGGCGUGCCUAAUACAUGCAAGUUGAGCGCUGAAGGUUGGUACUUGUACCAACUGGAUGAGCAGCGAACGGGUGAGUAACGCGUGGGGAAUCUGCCUUUGAGCGGGGGACAACAUUUGGAAACGAAUGCUAAUACCGCAUAAAAACUUUAAACACAAGUUUUAAGUUUGAAAGAUGCAAUUGCAUCACUCAAAGAUGAUCCCGCGUUGUAUUAGCUAGUUGGUGAGGUAAAGGCUCACCAAGGCGAUGAUACAUAGCCGACCUGAGAGGGUGAUCGGCAACAUUGGGACUGAGACACGGCCCAAACUCCUACGGGAGGCAGCAGUAGGGAAUCUUCGGCAAUGGACGAAAGUCUGACCGAGCAACGCCGCGUGAGUGAAGAAGGUUUUCGGAUCGUAAAACUCUGUUGGUAGAGAAGAACGUUGGUGAGAGUGGAAAGCUCAUCAAGUGACGGUAACUACCCAGAAAGGGACGGCUAACUACGUG
rnacentral:rRNA from 1 species